UAUCAAUUAAGCUUAGGAGGUGUGUAGGUGGGGAGGCAGGGGUCUUAUUUUUUUUGUCCAACAGCUUCUGUUUGACAGAUAUCCACAGGAUGGUGCCCAGCGACCCGAAGAAACAAAACCAAUUCAUUGAGCUGUGAUAAACUGCCGAGCUGUAAUAUUAUGCUAUGCUGUAGCGGUUAUGUUUCUUUGAAUUUUUCAAUCGAUAUUCUUGCUCUGAAUACAAGCACGGUUUAGGCCGGGUCCAUAUCCGUGUUGUGGAGACAAGCUUAGUUUUC